AAGUCUAAACUGGAGUUGGGGUUGCUCCAGCAAGAUCCUUCGACGCUCAAGUCAGUUCUCUGCCUCAACAAGAAUGGAGCGCUCGAACGAAAAUUUUAGCAGAGUUUUUGGGAUAGAAAUUAAAGCUUAGAGAAUAACGUAUCUGGGGUCCCCCUUUUAUAGGCGGAGGGUGCAACAGGCUGACAGUGAUGUUUGUAACCGUCUGGCAGUGGGCCGCUCGGGGUCAGGAAGAGUUUAUUGUGAAGUGUAGUGGAGUGGAAUCGUGGCCAUCACCGGGACUUGCGAUGUGGAGUCUGUUGCGGGGAGUGGAGCGGCGUCCGUUGUCGCGACUUGCCAGAGGAUAGAGGAGCCGUGCGGUAUCCGUCGCAGGAAAUGGAGCAGAGUCAUGGCCGUUACUAUGGUCUGCCAGGGAGUGAUGGAGCCACGUGGGAUCCGUCACAGGAAGUGGAGCAGAGUCGUGGCCGUUACUGAGGCCUGCCAGGGAGUGAUGGAGCCAC
rnacentral:lncRNA from 1 species